GGCAACAUUAUCUUUUAAACCAACAAAUACAGUAGGUAACAACCAUCCAAACAAGAAUUUUAUUUUAUAUAUACACACACAAGGCCUUAUCAUAAAACAACCACUCCUUAGUUCCACGAGAAACUAAAGAGAAUGAAACAGAGAGACUGUGAAGAGCAUUCAAAACUUUGAGAAAGGACAAUGAUUAUUAGGGGUGCAACAUGAUCUGGUAAGUCUAGGCUUUUCAUAGAUCUAGCCGAUUUAUUGCCGAUAGAGGCUGUGAAUAAUAAAAAGUACAGGUGUACAAAUAUCCUGACAUAUUUACUCACAGCUCUGUCUCAAUGGACGCUAGUAUGAAAAGAAGUUCUCAAAUCAGCAAAGGGUCUUCUCUUCUGCCUUGUGCAUUAUUCUCGACAAAAAUGUUACCACAUCGUGACUAUAUAUCAAGAUCUUUGUACACUUGUAUUUUGUCACUAUUCACAAACCUCUGCUGGAAAAUGAUUGACAUUAGAUCAAUGGAAAGUCUAGAUUUUCAAUCUUAGUUACUAUCAUAACUAUCACCCCCUUAUCCUUUGUGUCGACGGGGGAAUAUAUGAAGGAAUUCAUAGUUAGAUCCUGUUAGAAAUUAAUAAGAGGCUGAUCUUGCUUGUAAGGAACAAAUGAUGCAAUACUCAUCAUUUAUGAGUUACAAAUCUGUAAACAAGAGAAAAUUGGUGAAACAAAGAGACUCUGAAUGAGAAUUGAAAUUAAAGUUGAGGUACCUUGUGAUCUUUCUCAGUGGACUCUUGCUACAGGUAAAAUGGACUCAGUUAUGACAUCCAUAAUUUUUAAUUAUAGUGUUGCUCCGUCUAUGUUAAUUUUCUGUAUUUUUCUUUAUUUUUAUUGCCCCCGAUACUUGCAUAAUCUUUGAUUAGUUUGCUCUCAAAUUUGUGUUUUCCUUGGAUCAAUUCAGGAGUCAAUUCCUCGUAUGGUUAUUCAACUUAAAGGAAACUACCUGAUAAAGCUAUUUAUCCUUUUUUUUUC